rnacentral:rRNA from 1 species
UACGGGAGGCAGCAGUGGGGAAUAUUGGGCAAUGGGCGAAAGCCUGACCCAGCAACGCCGCGUGAAGGAAGAAGGUCCUCGGAUUGUAAACUUCUUUUAUGAGGGACGAAGGACGUGACGGUACCUCAUGAAUAAGCCACGGCUAACUACGUGCCAGCAGCCGCGGUAAU